AGAGUUUGAUGAUGGCUCAGAACGAACGCUGGCGGCGUGCUUAACACAUGCAAGUCGAACGAGAAAGAGUUCUUCGGAACUUGAGUAAAGUGGCGCACGGGUGAGUAACGCGUAGAUAACCUGUCCUGGUGUCUGGGAUAACCCUUCGAAAGGGGGACUAAUACCGGAUACGUUGAUUAUUCUUAAGAAUAAUCAAGAAAGGUGGCCUCUAUUUAUAAGCUAUCGCAUUUGGAGGGGUCUGCGUACCAUUAGCUAGUUGGUGGGGUAAAAGCCUACCAAGGCUACGAUGGUUAGCGGGUCUGAGAGGAUGAUCCGUCACACUGGCACUGAAACACGGGCCAGACUCCUACGGGAGGCAGCAGUGAGGAAUAUUGCGCAAUGGGGGAAACCCUGACGCAGCGACGCCGCGUGAGUGAGGAAGGCCUUAGGGUCGUAAAACUCUGUCAGAAGGGAAGAAAUGUUAAGAGGUUAAUACCCUUUUAAUUUGACGGUACCUUCAAAGGAAGCACCGGCUAACUCCGUGCCAGCAGCCGCGGUAAUACGGAGGGUGCAAGCGUUGUUCGGAAUCACUGGGCGUAAAGGGCGC
rnacentral:rRNA from 1 species